UACGUAGGGUGCAAGCGUUAAUCGGAAUUACUGGGCGUAAAGCGUGCGCAGGCGGUUUUGUAAGACCGAUGUGAAAUCCCCGGGCUUAACUUGGGAACUGCAUUGGUGACUGCAAGGCUUGAGUGUGUCAGAGGGAGGUGGAAUUCCGCGUGUAGCAGUGAAAUGCGUAGAUAUGCGGAGGAACACCGAUGGCGAAGGCAAUCCCCUGGACCUGUACUGACGCUCAUGCACGAAAGCGUGGGGAGCAAACAGG
rnacentral:rRNA from 1 species